GAUGAACGCUAGCUACAGGCUUAACACAUGCAAGUCGAGGGGCAGCGGUAUCGAAAGCUUGCUUUCGGUAGCCGGCGACCGGCGCACGGGUGAGUAACGCGUAUCGAACCUGCCUCAUACUCGGGAAUAGCCUUGCGAAAGUAAGAUUAAUGCCCGGUGUUUUCAGAGUCCCGCAUGAGGCUUUGAACAAAGAUUUAUCGGUAUGAGAUGGCGAUGCGUCCCAUUAGCUUGUUGGCGGGGUAACGGCCCACCAAGGCAUCGAUGGGUAGGGGUUCUGAGAGGAAGGGCCCCCACAUUGGACCUGGGACAAGGUCCAAACUCCUACGGGAGGCAGCAGUGAGGAAUAUUGGUCAAUGGGCGGAAGCCUGAACCAGCCAAGUAGCGUGCAGGAAGACGGCCCUCCGGGUUGUAAACUGCUUUUAGUUGGGAAUAAAACGGGGCUCGUGAGCCCCCUUGCAUGUACCAUCAGAAAAAGGACCGGCUAAUUCCGUGCCAGCCGCCGCCGUAA
rnacentral:rRNA from 1 species